UUCGCUCCGAAACUUUCUCGAAGCAGAUGAGCACUGGGGGUCAGCUACGCAAACCUCUGAGCCCCACAGCGCCGGAGCGAGAGUAAAGGAACAUCUACCGAACAGAGAGGGAAGGGCCGCCAGUGAAACCAAUCCAUCAGGAAAUAUUGGAGAGCGAAACCAACUAUUAAAUUGCCAGACAGAGGGCUACACAUGUAUUUCGAGGGAGGUAUGCAAGAACUGGAUGUUCAUCCCCUUUUUAUUCGGCUGCACUGGUGGAAAGGUGUGCUGCGAAAAGACCGAAGGCACCAGCUGCCUCAGAGGAGCCAAAUACCCUGGAAAAUGCGUGCCCAUGCACAGCACGGAUUACUGUAUCUCAAGAAUGCCCAGCAACGACUGCCCGCUUAGUCAAGUAUGCUGCCGAAAUAAUUAAAGCCAGGGGAGCGCAUCGAAUCGGCCGCCAUUCACCGACGAGAUUAAAGGAAGGUUGCACGGCACACGCCGAGCUACACAGAUAUGAUUGUUUUUCCUCAGUUCAAAAGCAGCGAGUGCAUCGAUGAACAGAAAGAAAGCGCUUAGUGCACUCAUCCUUCAAGCCGUAGUACUCGCAGGCAUCAAAGCGUCAUUGUAGCUUAUCAGAUAGGUAAUUAUUCAGACACUCUUCUAUACCACGGGCGAUAUUCUGACUAACUUUUGAAUUGAAUCGAAUUGAAUCGAAUUGAAUUGAAUUUAUUCUCCUUGAACAAAUGCACAAGGAAGGAGUAGCCACAAAAAGCUACUGAGAGUAGUAGCUUGACGAGGUGGCUGCCCCUUUACGCAGCAGCAGCAGUUAUUAAACAAUUUUCAUACAAAUGACUGCUUUUACACAUAUGUACAGACAAUGAUUGCACAAGAUAACAUAAGCAUUUUGCAAAAG